CUCCGGACUGGCCCAGAGAGGUGGGCAACUACCACUCAGGGCCGGAAAGUUGUCCAAACUCGGUCAUUUAGAGGAAGUAAAAGUCGUAACAAGGUCUCCGUUGGUGAACCAGCGGAGGGAUCAUUACAGAGUUACUACUCCAAAACCCAUUGUGAACCUUUACCUAUGUUCUGUUGCCUCGGGGGGCGUGGUCCAGCGCCCCCUCUGAAAAGAGGACGAUGCCCUUCCCGCCGGCAGCAACCAAACUUCUUUGAAUUUUACAGCGCGAUUACAGGUUCUUGAUUUGAAAAGGAAAAAACAGGUUAAAACUUUCAACAACGGGAUCUCUUGGUUCUGGCAUCGAUGAAGAACGCAGCGAAAUGCGAUAAGUAAUGUGAAUUGCAGAAUUCAGUGAAUCAUCGAAUCUUUGAACGCACAUUGCGCCCGGCAGUAAUCUGCCGGGCAUGCCUGUCCGAGCGUCAUUUCCACCCUCGAACCUCCGUUUCCUCAGGGAAGCUCAGGGUCGGUUUUUGGGCGCUACGGCGAGUCUUCGCGACCCUCCGUAGGCCCUGAAAUACAGUGGCGGUCCCGCCGCGGUUGCCUUCUGCGUAGUAAGUCUCUUUUGCAAGCUCCGCAUUGGGUCCCGGGCGGAGGCCUGCCGUCAAACCACCUAUAACUCCAGAUGGUUUGACCUCGGAUCAGGUAGGGUUACCCGCUGAACUUAAGCAUAUC
rnacentral:rRNA from 1 species